rnacentral:rRNA from 1 species
UACGUAGGGUGCGAGCGUUAAUCGGAAUUACUGGGCGUAAAGCGUGCGCAGGCGGUUUUGUAAGCCAGAUGUGAAAGCCCCGGGCUUAACCUGGGAAUGGCAUUUGGGACUGCAAGGCUAGAGUGCGGCAGAGGAGACUGGAAUUCCUGGUGUAGCAGUGAAAUGCGUAGAUAUCAGGAGGAAUACCGAUGGCGAAGGAUGAGUCUGGUGGCGACACUGACGCUCAUGCACGAAAGCGUGGGGAGCAAACAGG